CUGAACCAGCCAAGUAGCGUGAAGGAUGACUGCCCUAUGGGUUGUAAACUUCUUUUAUAAAGGAAUAAAGUCGGGUAUGCAUACCCGUUUGCAUGUACUUUAUGAAUAAGGAUCGGCUAACUCCGUGCCAGCAGCCGCGGUAAAACGGAGGAUCCGAGCGUUAUCCGGAUUUAUUGGGUUUAAAGGGAGCGUAGAUGGAUGUUUAAGUCAGUUGUGAAAGUUUGCGG
rnacentral:rRNA from 1 species